UGUGGUCAAAAGAAACCUUGAAAAAUGUAUUAGGCCCUAUAUACAUGGAUGGAGGGAGUAGCACUAAACCUAUCGCUAAACCUAUAUAGCACUAAACAACAACAAAAUAACAAAAACAGAAUCUACCACUAAGUAACUAAAAAAGAAUCUAGCUACCACUAAUUAACAAAACAUAAUCUACCUCUAAUUAACAAAUAAGCUAGCAUUAAUUAACUAAACCUAGCACUAAAUCUACUAUUUAACUAAAUCAACUAACUAAACAACCACUAAAUCUACUAAUUAACUAGCCUAGCUACCAACUAAACUAUAUAUACCACUAAAU
rnacentral:lncRNA from 1 species